UGCUGCUCUUCUGCAUCUAUGAGAGGUAUAAAGACAAAAAAACAAUCCAACAGGUUCCUGACCCUGGAAGAGUCCUUGCCUAUGAGGAAGAAAGACAGAUCUGUGCUCAGGAGACAAUGUGGUGCCAAGAAAUAAACCUGGAUCUCCUGCAUGCAAAGCAUGUGCUCAGCCUGUUAAGCUCCCUGUGACCCCAGUUCUACAUAUUCAAAAGGUGAGAAAACUGAGGCUCUCUGCGGUGAAGAACUUUGCAGGAGGUUGCAUAAGGUUAUAUUAUUAUGGCUGAAUCCAGG